rnacentral:rRNA from 1 species
UAGCAUAUCAAUAAGCGGAGGAAAAGAAACCAACAGGGAUUGCCCCAGUAACGGCGAGUGAAGCGGCAACAGCUCAAAUUUGAAAUCUGGCCCCCCCGGGCCCGAGUUGUAAUUUGUAGAGGAUGCUUUUGGCGAGGUGCCGCCCGAGUUCCCUGGAACGGGACGCCGCAGAGGGUGAGAGCCCCGUCUGGCUGGCCACCGAGCCUCUGUAAAGCUCCUUCGACGAGUCGAGUAGUUUGGGAAUGCUGCUCAAAAUGGGAGGUAUAUGUCUUCUAAAGCUAAAUAUUGGCCAGAGACCGAUAGCGCACAAGUAGAGUGAUCGAAAGAUGAAAAGCACUUUGAAAAGAGGGUUAAACAGUACGUGAAAUUGUUGAAAGGGAAGCGCUCAUGACCAGACUUGGGCUUGGCGGAUCAUCCGGCGUUCUCGCCGGUGCACUCCGCCUCGCCCAGGCCAGCAUCAGUUCGCGCCGGGGGACAAAGGCUUCGGGAAUGUGGCUCCUCCGGGAGUGUUAUAGCCCGUUGCGUAAUACCCUGGGGCGGACUGAGGUUCGCGCAUCUGCAAGGAUGCUGGCGUAAUGGUCAUCAGCGACCCGUCUUGAAACACGGACCAAGGAGUCGUCUUCGUAUGCGAGUGUUCGGGUGUCAAACCCCUACGCGUAAUGAAAGUGAACGCAGGUGAGAGCUUCGGCGCAUCAUCGACCGAUCCUGAUGUUCUCGGAUGGAUUUGAGUAAGAGCAUACGGGGCCGGACCCGAAAGAAGGUGAACUAUGCCUGUAUAGGGUGAAGCCAGAGGAAACUCUGGUGGAGGCUCGCAGCGGUUCUGACGUGCAAAUCGAUCGUCAAAUAUGGGCAUGGGGGCGAAAGACUAAUCGAACCUUCUAGUAGCUGGUUUCC